rnacentral:rRNA from 1 species
AUUGAACGCUGGCGGCAGGCCUAACACAUGCAAGUCGAGCGGAUGAAGGGAGCUUGCUCCUGGAUUCAGCGGCGGACGGGUGAGUAAUGCCUAGGAAUCUGCCUGGUAGUGGGGGAUAACGUCCGGAAACGGGCGCUAAUACCGCAUACGUCCUGAGGGAGAAAGUGGGGGAUCUUCGGACCUCACGCUAUCAGAUGAGCCUAGGUCGGAUUAGCUAGUUGGUGGGGUAAAGGCCUACCAAGGCGACGAUCCGUAACUGGUCUGAGAGGAUGAUCAGUCACACUGGAACUGGGACACGGUCCAGACUCCUACGGGAGGCAGCAGUGGGGAAUAUUGGACAAUGGGCGAAAGCCUGAUCCAGCCAUGCCGCGUGUGUGAAGAAGGUCUUCGGAUUGUAAAGCACUUUAAGUUGGGAGGAAGGGCAGUAAGUUAACACCUUGCUGUUUUGACGUUACCAACAGAAUAAGCACCGGCUAACUUCGUG